GACGAACGCUGGCGGCGUGCCUAAUACAUGCAAGUUGAGCGCUGAAGGUUGGUACUUGUACCAACUGGAUGAGCAGCGAACGGGUGAGUAACGCGUGGGGAAUCUGCCUUUGAGCGGGGGACAACAUUUGGAAACGAAUGCUAAUACCGCAUAAAAACUUUAAACACAAGUUUUAAGUUUGAAAGAUGCAAUUGCAUCACUCAAAGAUGAUCCCGCGUUGUAUUAGCUAGUUGGUGAGGUAAAGGCUCACCAAGGCGAUGAUACAUAGCCGACCUGAGAGGGUGAUCGGCCACAUUGGGACUGAGACACGGCCCAAACUCCUACGGGAGGCAGCAGUAGGGAAUCUUCGGCAAUGGACGAAAGUCUGACCGAGCAACGCCGCGUGAGUGAAGAAGGUUUUCGGAUCGUAAAACUCUGUUGGUAGAGAAGAACGUUGGUGAGAGUGGAAAGCUCAUCAAGUGACGGUAACUACCCAGAAAGGGACGGCUAACUACGGG
rnacentral:rRNA from 1 species